rnacentral:rRNA from 1 species
AGCAGCCGCGGUAAUUCCAGCUCCAAUAGCGUAUAUUAAAGUUGUUGCAGUUAAAAAAGCUCGUAGUUGAAUUUCGGGAUCGACGGGUCGGUCGCGCCUCUGGUGUGUACUGGCCCUGUCGGUUUCUCCCUUCUGACGAACCACGAUGUCAUUAAUUUGGUGUCGUGGGAAAUCAGGACUGUUACUUUGAAAAAAUUAGAGUGUUUAAAGCAGGCAUUCGCUUGAAUACAUUAGCAUGGAAUAAUGAAAUAGGACGUUUGAUCUUAUUUUGUUGGUUUCUAAGAUCGACGUAAUGAUUAAUAGGGAUAGUUGGGGGCAUUAGUAUUCAAUUGUCAGAGGUGAAAUUCUUGGAUUUAUUGAAGACUAACUACUGCGAAAGCAUUUGCCAAGGAUGUUUUCAUUAAUCAAGAACGAAAGUUAGGGGAUCGAAGACGAUCAGAUACCGUCGUAGUCUUAACCAUAAACUAUGCCGACUAGGGAUCGGAUGAUGUUAAUUUUUAAUGACUCAUUCGGCGCCUUA